CCCGGGGUACAUAUCACCUGGUUCGCCACCGUAGCGGAUCAUCCCGCCCUUCGCCCCACGCCGUAUACCUCGCGACUGUAGCUACCAAGUUUCCAUCAUCUUCCUUUCCAUCCCCAUCCGCGCCCGCACCCAUACCCGCACCCACACCCACACCCAUACCCACACCCAUACCCACAGCCGCACCUCGCCUGCUACGCUAUCCCCUUUCCCCUCUCACCUCCCAAUGGGCCCCCGCUAGCUCCGCCCCGCCCCACAUCCCAUACACACACACACACGCUCGCUCUCUCACCUGCCACCCCCCCUAGCUCCGGUUUAUCGUCCGCGGGUCCCCCCCGGGUGUUCUCCGUACCGCUGCCCG
rnacentral:lncRNA from 1 species